GUGAAAUUCCGUCGGAAUCUGGGAGGACCAUCUCCUAAGGCUAAAUACUCUCUAGUGACCGAUAGUGAACCAGUACCGUGAGGGAAAGGUGAAAAGCACCCCGGAAGGGGAGUGAAAUAGAACCUGAAACCGUGUGCUUACAAGUAGUCAGAGCCCGUUAAUGGGUGAUGGCGUGCCUUUUGUAGAAUGAACCGGCGAGUUACGAUUUGAUGCAAGGUUAAGCAGUAAAUGUGGAGCCGUAGCGAAAGCGAGUCUGAAUAGGGCGUUUAGUAUUUGGUCGUAGACCCGAAACCAGGUGAUCUACCCUUGGUCAGGUUGAAGUUCAGGUAACACUGAAUGGAGGACCGAACCGACUUACGUUGAAAAGUGAGCGGAUGAACUGAGGGUAGCGGAGAAAUUCCAAUCGAACCUGGAGAUAGCUGGUUCUCUCCGAAAUAGCUUUAGGGCUAGCCUCAAGUGAUGAUUAUUGGAGGUAGAGCACUGUUUGGACGAGGGGCCCCUCUCGGGUUACCGAAUUCAGACAAACUCCGAAUGCCAAUUAAUUUAACUUGGGAGUCAGAACAUGGGUGAUAAGGUCCGUGUUCGAAAGGGAAACAGCCCAGACCACCAGCUAAGGUCCCAAAAUAUAUGUUAAGUGGAAAAGGAUGUGGCGUUGCCCAGACAACUAGGAUGUUGGCUUAGAAGCAGCCAUCAUUUAAAGAGUGCGUAAUAGCUCACUAGUCGAGUGACACUGCGCCGAAAAUGUACCGGGGCUAAACAUAUUACCGAAGCUGUGGAUUGUCCUUUGGACAAUGGUAGGAGAGCGUUCUAAGGGCGUUGAAGCAUGAUCGUAAGGACAUGUGGAGCGCUUAGAAGUGAGAAUGCCGGUGUGAGUAGCGAAAGACGGGUGAGAAUCCCGUCCACCGAUUGACUAAGGUUUCCAGAGGAAGGCUCGUCCGCUCUGGGUUAGUCGGGUCCUAAGCUGAGGCCGACAGGCGUAGGCGAUGGAUAACAGGUUGAUAUUCCUGUACCACCUAUAAUCGUUUUAAUCGAUGGGGGGACGCAGUAGGAUAGGCGAAGCGUGCGAUUGGAUUGCACGUCUAAGCAGUAAGGCUGAGUAUUAGGCAAAUCCGGUACUCGUUAAGGCUGAGCUGUGAUGGGGAGAAGACAUUGUGUCUUCGAGUCGUUGAUUUCACACUGCCGAGAAAAGCCUCUAGAUAGAAAAUAGGUGCCCGUACCGCAAACCGACACAGGUAGUCAAGAUGAGAAUUCUAAGGUGAGCGAGCGAACUCUCGUUAAGGAACUCGGCAAAAUGACCCCGUAACUUCGGGAGAAGGGGUGCUCUUUAGGGUUAACGCCCAGAAGAGCCGCAGUGAAUAGGCCCAAGCGACUGUUUAUCAAAAACACAGGUCUCUGCUAAACCGUAAGGUGAUGUAUAGGGGCUGACGCCUGCCCGGUGCUGGAAGGUUAAGAGGAGUGGUUAGCUUCUGCGAAGCUACGAAUCGAAGCCCCAGUAAACGGCGGCCGUAACUAUAACGGUCCUAAGGUAGCGAAAUUCCUUGUCGGGUAAGUUCCGACCCGCACGAAAGGCGUAACGAUUUGGGCACUGUCUCAACGAGAGACUCGGUGAAAUCAUAGUACCUGUGAAGAUGCAGGUUACCCGCGACAGGACGGAAAGACCCCG
rnacentral:rRNA from 1 species